rnacentral:rRNA from 1 species
AGAGUUUGAUCCUGGCUCAGAACGAACGCUGGCGGCGUGGAUAAGACAUGCAAGUUGAACGCUAAUUUCAGUGUAGCAAUAUAUUGAAGUUGGAGUAGCGCAAGGGUGCGUAACACGUGGGUAAUUUGCCCUGAAGUUGGGGAUAACUCGCUGAAAGGCGAGCUAAUACCGGAUGUGAAGUUUGGGUGGCAUCACCUGACCUUUAAAGCUGGGGAUCGUAAGACCUGGCGCUUUAGGAUAAGCCCGCGGCCUAUCAGCUAGUUGGUGAGGUAACGGCUCACCAAGGCUAAGACGGGUAGCUGGUCUGAGAGGACGACCAGCCACACUGGAACUGAGACACGGUCCAGACACCUACGGGUGGCAGCAGUCGAGAAUUUUUCUCAAUGGGCGCAAGCCUGAAGGAGCGACGCCGCGUGGGGGAUGAAGGGUUUCGAUCCGUAAACCCCUGUCAUUUGUGAACAAUGGUUAUCGUUUAAGAGAUGAUGACUUGAUAGUAAUGAAAGAGGAAGGGACGGCUAACUCUGUGCCAGCAGCCGCGGUAAUACAGAGGUCCCGAGCGUUGUUCGGAUUCACUGGGCGUAAAGGGUGCGUAGGUGGCCUGAAAAGUUUGAUGUGAAAGCUCAGGGCUUAACCCUGAAAUGGCAUUGAAUACUGUUGGGCUGGAGGUUUGGAGGGGGGACUGGAAUUCUUGGUGUAGCAGUGAAAUGCGUAGAUAUCAAGAGGAACACCAGUGGCGAAGGCGAGUCCCUGGACAACACCUGACACUGAGGCACGAAAGCUAGGGGAGCAAACAGGAUUAGAUACCCUAGUAGUCC